CGAACGGGUGAGUAACGCGUGAGUAACCUGCCUUACACAAGGGGAUAGCCUUUGGAAACGAAGAAUAAUACCCUAUAAAACUAUAAAAGCACAUGCUAGAAUGGUCAAAGUGCUAGCGGUGUAAGAUGGACUUGCGUCUGAUUAGCUAGUUGGUGGGAUAAAAGCUCACCAAGGCAACGAUCAGUAGCCGGCUUGAGAGAGUGUACGGCCACAUUGGGACUGAGACACGGCCCAG
rnacentral:rRNA from 1 species